CAGGAUAUAGUUUAACAAGAAUGCUGGCUUUGGGGGCCAGGGGUGGGGUAAGUAGCCCUGUCCUGA
rnacentral:tRNA from 1 species